UAAGUAUUUGCUUAGCAUUUAUUAGAGUGACAGAUUUCAAAAGAAUAGAACGAAUUAAAACAUUUGAAAAUUAGAUUUAAAGUAAGGGAAAAAAAAUGGUUAUAUUGUGUUUUUUUUUUUUUUGUUUUGUCAAAAGCAUUAAUAAUAAUUAGCUACAUGUGUACUUUGUUGCGGACAUCAUUAUCUCGAAAUACCAGCAGUUCAUGAUUAAAGAAUGUCUUACAAAAGUUAUCCUAAUAGGCCACCUGUUAGGCCACCUGUUAGGCCACCUGUUAGGCCACCUGUCAGGCCACCUGUCAGGCCACCUGUCA